AAUGAACGCUGGCGGCGUGCCUAACACAUGCGAGUCGGAUGUGCCGCAAGGUGCAUGGCAGACGGGUGAGUAACGCGUGGGGAAUCUACCUCUUUGUGGGGAAUAACGCUCCGAAAGGAGUGGUAAUACCGCAUGAGACCGUGGACUGGGAUGUCUACGGUGAAACCUGGGGACCGUAAGGCCUGGGGCAAGGAGAGGAUCCUGCGUCUGAUUAGCUAGUUGGCGGGGUAAUGGCCCACCAAGGCAUCGAUCAGUAGCCGGCCUGAGAGGGUGAUCGGCCACACUGGAACUGAGACACGGUCCAGACUCCUACGGGAGGCAGCAGUGGGGAAUUUUGCGCAAUGGGCGAAAGCCUGACGCAGCAACGCCGCGUGGGUGAUGAAGGUCUUCGGACUGUAAAACCCUGUCGUCAGGGACGAAGAUGUACGUGUUAAUAGCGCGUGCGAUUUGACGGUACCUGGAGAGGAAGCCCCGGCUAACUCUCGUGCCAGCAG
rnacentral:rRNA from 1 species